rnacentral:lncRNA from 1 species
GAGGGAGCAUGCCUUCUGCCCUCCUCGGCCAACUAUAAGGUAAUUUAAAGCACUAUGGCCCUUGUCUGUGAAGAAUCGCCUAUAAGAAUAUAUCAACUACCAAAGAGCCUCUCCACUUGUGACUAAGUUUCAACAAUUGGCUUUCAAACACUUGAACAGUGUCUGAGAUAGAACCAGUGUUAUACUUGUUAUUUUUAUCUUGAUUACAAGUUUGCCAAACACAUGUCUAAAUUCCAUGUCAUGCUAUGGCUUUCUCCAUGGUCAGAUCACAAAUUUGGAAAUUAAACAUGGUGUAAAAAGUGACCAGUGAGAAUUCAGGUAGAUAAACAGCAGAAUAAAUCAAAUGAUGUCUUUGAGUCCAAUCAGGCCAUGGUAUCUUAAAUUUGAAGUAUAAUUUUAUUUUUAUUAAAUGUAUUGAAAUAGCAAUGUAGAGAAAAACAGAUAGGAGACACAAUUUGCAUUCUAUGCACAUAGAUCUUUUUGUGGAUAUGGGAGCAUAAAUGCGUUCCCCUUUUUAUACUUUUCUUACACCCCCAUUUCUUAACAGCACACAAUCAUAGAGGUGCCACUUCAGCUAUAUUAGAAGUAGAAACUACUAUGUACAGUAAAAUUGUUUUCAAAAUUUAAAGUAAUGAACAUGGUAUACAGCUUCUUUUUUAAUGUUCUGAAACUAGAUAUUUAGUGAAUCCACAUAACGCUAGAGAGGCACUAUUAUUUUUAAAAGCACAAUUAAAUCAACUGUCAUUACUAAAAUGAAGGAGAAAGUAUCUUUCUAACUUCUCUCUCUCUCUCUCUCUCUCUCUCUCUCUCUCUGUGUGUGUGUGUGUGUGUGUGUGUGUGUGUGUGUGUGUGUGUGUGUGUGUGUGUUUGGUUGUUAAGGCAGGAUUUCACUAUGUAGCCCCAGAUAGAGCUAUCUGAAUGAACUAUACUGGUUUGACCUGACUCACAAAGCUUGUCCUGCCUCUUCCUCUAGCGUGGUAGAAUUUUAGGCAUGUUUCUCCACUAUGCCUGGCUCUUUAAUUUCUCUUGAACAGAAAUUCCUCCGUAUAUUCACAUUUCAACCCAUAACAGUAUUUUUGUAUUUUAGGAAGCUUUAUUUCUCCAUAUAUUUAAUAAGACUUACUGAGAAGAAGUAAAUAAGUAAAAGGGAUACAAUAAAUAAAUAGUAAAAUGUAAGAAAACUGUGAACAUCAAUUCUUUUUCUACUAACACAUUUUCAGUUCUUUAAAGAUCACUAGAUAUCUAUCAUGAAGUGGCAGACGUAACAUUCUUCAAUACACAUAUUACAUACAUUUUUAUUCCUUACUCUAUUUACUAUAUAAAAGAACACUUGUGCUGCUUUGUUUUCAGAGACAGGGUCUACUGGAGACCAGACUUGAAAUCAGUAUUGAAUAAUUAAGGAAAACCUUAGCCCUCUGAUCCUUUUGUAUUUUUUUCCAUAUACUGAGAUUACACAAAUGUGAUGGACAUUAUAAAACAAUAAUUAAACC